rnacentral:rRNA from 1 species
GACGAACGCUGGCGGCGUGCUUAACACAUGCAAGUCGAACGGAAAGGCCCCUUUGGGGGUACUCGAGUGGCGAACGGGUGAGUAACACGUGAGUAACCUGCCCUUGACUUCGGGAUAACUUCAGGAAACUGGGGCUAAUACCGGAUAGGAAUCCUUGCUGCAUGGUGGGGGUUGGAAAGCUUCGGCGGUUUUGGAUGGACUCGCGGCUUAUCAGCUUGUUGGUGGGGUAGUGGCUUACCAAGGCUUUGACGGGUAGCCGGCCUGAGAGGGCGGCCGGCCACAUUGGGACUGAGAUACGGCCCAGACUCCUACGGGAGGCAGCAGUGGGGAAUAUUGCACAAUGGGCGGAAGCCUGAUGCAGCAACGCCGCGUGCGGGAUGACGGCCUUCGGGUUGUAAACCGCUUUCAGCAGGGGCGAAGCUUGUGGUGACGGUACCUGCAGAAGAAGCACCGGCUAACUACGUG